rnacentral:rRNA from 1 species
UACGGGGGGGGCUAGCGUUGUUCGGAAUUACUGGGCGUAAAGGGCGCGUAGGCGGCGUGACAAGUCACUUGUGAAAUCUCCGGGCUUAACUCGGAACGGUCAAGUGAUACUGUCGUGCUAGAGUACAGAAGGGGCAACUGGAAUUCUCGGUGUAGCGGUGAAAUGCGCAGAUAUCGGGAAGAACACCCGUGGCGAAGGCGGUUCUCUGGGACGGUACUGACGCUGAGACGCGAAAAGCGUGGGGGAGCGAACAGG